rnacentral:rRNA from 1 species
GAUGAACGCUGGCGGCAUGCCUAAUACAUGCAAGUCGAACGAGAGGAAGGAAAGCUUGCUUUUCUGAAUCUAGUGGCGAACGGGUGAGUAACACGUAGGUAACCUGCCCAUGUGCCCGGGAUACUUCUGGAAACGGAUGCUAAAACCGGAUAGGUAGCAGACAAGCAUUUGACUGCUAUUAACGUGGCUAAGGCCAUGAACAUGGAUGGACCUGCGGUGCAUUAGCUAGUUGGUGAGGUAACGGCCCACCAAGGCGACGAUGCAUAGCCGGCCGGAGAGGGCGGACGGCCACAUUGGGACUGAGACACGGCCCAAACUCCUACGGGAGGCAGCAGUAGGGAAUUUUCGUCAAUGGGGGGAACCCUGAACGAGCAAUGCCGCGUGAGUGAGGAAGGUCUUCGGAUCGUAAAGCUCUGUUGUAAGAGAAAAACGACAUUCAUAGGGAAUGAUGAGUGAGUGAUGGUAUCUUACCAGAAAGUCACGGCUAACUACGUGCCAGCAGCCGCCGUAA